GGGAUUGCCCCAGUAACGGCGAGUGAAGCGGCAAUAGCUCAAAUUUGAAAUCUGGCUCUUUCAGGGUCCGAGUUGUAAUUUGCAGAGGGCGCUUUGGCGUCGGCAGCAGCCUAAGUUCCUUGGAACAGGUCAUCAUAGAGGGUGAGAAUCCCGUAUGUGGCUGCUUGUCUUCGCCGUGUAAAGCCCCUUCGAUGAGUCGAGUUGUUUGGGAAUGCAGCUCUAAAUGGGAGGUAAAUUUCUUCUAAAGCUAAAUAUUGGCCAGAGACCGAUAGCGCACAAGUAGAGUGAUCGAAAGAUGAAAAGCACUUUGGAAAGAGAGUCAAAAAGCACGUGAAAUUGUUGAAAGGGAAGCGCUUGCAGCCAGACGUGCCCGUAGUUGCUCAUCGGGGGUUCUCCCCCGUGUACUCUUCUAUGGGCAGGCCAGCAUCAGUCCGGGCGGUUGGAGAAAGACCUGUGUCAUGUAGCUGUUUUCGGGCAGUGUUAUAGGGCAGGUGGAAUGCAACCAGCCUGGACUGAGGUCCGCGCAUCUGCUAGGAUGCUGGCGUAAUGGCUGUAAGCGGCCCGUCUUGAAACACGGACCAAGGAGUCUAACAUCUAUGCGAGUGUUUGGGUGUCAAGCCCGAGCGCGUAAUGAAAGUGAACGGAGGUGGGAACCUUUUAGGUGCACCAUCGACCGAUCCUGAUGUCUUCGGAUGGAUUUGAGUAAGAGCAUAGCUGUUGGGACCCGAAAGAUGGUGAACUAUGCCUGAAUAGGGUGAAGCCAGAGGAAACUCUGGUGGAGGCUCGCAGCGGUUCUGACGUGCAAAUCGAUCGUCAAAUUUGGGCAU
rnacentral:rRNA from 1 species